rnacentral:misc_RNA from 1 species
UAUUGCUAAAAUUGAUUCUUAUUGAUUAACUCUACCAUUAAUCAGAUCUUUCUAUGUUCAUAUAGGCUGCAACACUAGCAUAUCUUAAAUUCCCAUGUAAUUGAUCUGAUUAUGACCCAUCAUCCUAACUCUAAUCUAUUUUUGAUUACUAUAGUCCAUCUUUGGGGCAUUGUUGCAAGCAUUUUAUCGGUCAUCGGUGUGAAAUUUUGCAACAUUAUUGAGUUGUAUGACUUAUUUUGGUCUAUGUUAUGAAUAUUUUCCUUUCAUUUGGUCUACUUUCCACAUUUUCACUCCAUGGCUAAUAUUUAUCAGGUGCUUCAUAAUAUUGCAAUUGCG